rnacentral:lncRNA from 1 species
GUGAUCUUAAUUUUUCAGUUUUGAAUCAUUUUUUGUCACAGAAAGCUUUACCAACUAGAAUCUUUAUCAGAUUGCUAUCGGACUCCGUUUUCACUUCUCGGGUGUGACAUGAAACUUUAAAUGUGAUCUCAGAAAAAUAGUUUCAAUAUAUUCUCAAAUUUUCAUAAUUUUUUGACACUUUGAAUUUUCAGCUGAAAGAUAAGCCCUUAUCUGUAUAGAAAAUUCUAAAUCUCUUAUUUUCAUUCCAAUUUCACUAUAAAUCAUUUGUAAAUUAUAUAUUAUUUUUCUAAGUCAAUAAAAAUAGUAUCUCACACUAUUUUUAUUUAUACUUGAUUUUACCAAAAUACCCUUCAAAAUCUGCAUUCUGCAGAACUGCGCACUGGUACUCAAAU